rnacentral:rRNA from 1 species
UCUGACGAGCACGCCGCGUGAGUGAAGAAGGUUUUCGGAUCGUAAAACUCUGUUGUUAGAGAAGAACAAGGAUGAGAGUAACUGUUCAUCCCUUGACGGUAUCUAACCAGAAAGCCACGGCUAACUACGUGCCAGCAGCCGCGGUAAUAA